rnacentral:lncRNA from 1 species
AAAUAAUCCUCUCAAAUCGAACAAUCUCAGCACGUCAGGGCGGCCGGCUCUUCUUGUCACGAUCAGUUUGUUGACGAAAAUACAUUUAUACUGCAGGAAGUUUGACCUUUGAGAAGUGCUUGUUGUGCCAGGCUGUGCUUGUUGUGCCAAAUGACAACAAAAUUAUAUCUUCUUGAAUAAACAGAUAACUGAGAUAAGAGUCGGAGAUUCUCGAAGAUGGCAGGAAUACCAAACAAUAACAAGAUGCCACGUAGUAAACAUCACUCGAAACAACAUCAUUCUAUGAGUGCUGCUCCUGGCGGAAAAAUUGCUGGAAAGAAACACCCAGGAAAAGCUAUUCUAGCAGGCAAGACCCACAUUGUAUUGUUCAUUUGUUCAGAUCUUUGUCUAGUUAUGUAACAAUGUUAGCUAGUAUUUUCAUUGCAGUCAUCUCACAAACAUUUCAUUCCAAUACCCAUACAUUUUGAGUACUUCUAUAUAAAUCAAGAAUAAAGGUAUUGAUUUUUUUAAAGUUCAGG